CCUACGGGUGGCAGCAGUGGGGAAUCUUGCACAAUGGGGGGAACCUUGAUGCAGCACCGCCGCGUGGGUGAAGAAGUACUCCGGUAUGUCACGCCCUGUCAGCAGGGAAGAAAAUGACGGUACCUGACCAAGAAGCCCCGGCUAACUACGUGCCAGCAGCCGAGGUAAUACGUAGGGGGCAAGCGUUCUCCGGCUUUACUGGGUGUAAAGGGAGCGUAGACGGCAAGGCAAGUCUGGAGUGAAAGCCCGGGGCCCAACCACGGGACUGCUUUGGAAACUGUGUUGCUGGAGUGCAGGAGGGGUAAGCGGAAUUCCUAGGGUAGCGGUGAAAUGCGUAGAUAUUAGGAGGAACACCGGUGGCGAAGGCGGCUUACUGGACUGUAACUGACGUUGAGGCUCGAAGGCGUGGGGAGCAAACAGGAUUAGAUACCCUUGUAGUC
rnacentral:rRNA from 1 species